UACGAAGGGGGCUAGCGUUGUUCGGAAUCACUGGGCGUAAAGCGCACGUAGGCGGAUUGUUAAGUCGGGGGGUGAAAUCCUGAGGCUCAACCUCAGAACUGCCUUCGAUACUGGCAAUCUCGAGUCCGGAAGAGGUUGGUGGAACAGCUAGUGUAGAGGUGAAAUUCGUAGAUAUUAGCUAGAACACCAGUGGCGAAGGCGGCCAACUGGUCCGGUACUG
rnacentral:rRNA from 1 species